AGGACGAACGCUGGCGGCGUGCUUAACACAUGCAAGUCGAGCGGUAAGGCCCUUUCGGGGGUACACGAGCGGCGAACGGGUGAGUAACACGUGAGCAAUCUGCCCUUCACUUCGGGAUAAGCCUCGGAAACGGGGUCUAAUGCCGGAUAUGACCGCGCUACGCAUGUGGUGUGGUAGGAAAGUUCGUGGCGGUGGAGGAUGGAGUCUCGCGGCCUAUCAGCUUAGUUGGGUGGGUAAUCGGCCUACCGAAGGUCUUCGGACGGGUACGCCGGCCGUGGAGAGGGUCGACCGGCACACGUGGACUGAGACACGGCCAG
rnacentral:rRNA from 1 species